GAAAUAUAAUAAAAUUAAGCUGCUAACUUAAUUAAUAGUGAUUCAAUUCAUUAAUAUUUCU
rnacentral:tRNA from 1 species